UACAGAGGUCUCAAGCGUUGUUCGGAUUCAUUGGGCGUAAAGGGUGUGUAGGUGGCGCCGUUAGUCGGGUGUGAAAUUUCGGAGCUUAACUCCGAAACUGCAUUCGAUACUGCGGUGCUUGAGGACUGGAGAGGAGACUGGAAUUCAUGGUGUAGCAGUGAAAUGCGUAGAGAUCAUGAGGAAGACCAGUGGCGAAGGCGGGUCUCUGGGCAUUACCUGACGCUGAGGAGCGAAAGCGUGGGGAGCAAACAGG
rnacentral:rRNA from 1 species